rnacentral:RNase_P_RNA from 1 species
UAAAUAGGUUGUGUAGUUGCGUGAUUUUUAAAAUUACGAGGAAAGUCCGGACUCUAUAGAGGUAUGGUGCCGGGUAACGCCCGGCGGAGUAAUAUUACUUUAGGGAAAGUGCCGCAGAAAAUAAACCGCCCUGGUAUAUGUAUGUAUACGAAGAUCAACUUGGAAAAGAGCUAGGAGUCUGUAGACUUUCGGAGCGGAGCGUACAAAAGUACGUGAGUACCGAAGAGGCUACAAAGACGACGACGCCAAUUUUUCAAGUUUAUCGAGUAGGGUAAGGGUGAAAAGGUGUGGUAAGAGCACACCGGUAAGUUGGUAACAAGUUACGCAUGGUAAACCCCACCAAGAGCAAAAUCAAAUAGGCGUUACAGAGCUUUUAUAAGCUCCUGGGUAUCUCUAACCGGUUUGUAAUGCGGGUAGAUUGCUUGAGGUAAACGAUAACGUUUAUCCUAGAUAAAUAACUACAACGAGCUAUUUAUAGUUCGUACAGAAUCCGGCUUAUAGACCUUAUUUUGUC